GACAUAUAUAGAAGACUAGAUACAUUAAGGCGGGGCGUAGAACGUCCUCACAGGUCGGCCAUCUUGGAACAGUAAAGCUUUCUGGCGGGCAGAAGUGGAACCUGAGGUAAACCAAUGAGAUGCCAGACUUUUGUGCAGCCUAUGGGUGUGCUAAUCACCGUUGUCUUGAAACGAGAAAACGCGGGAUCACCUUUCACCGGUAAGAUAGCAUCCACAGCUUCAUUAUUAUUUCUAGAAUUAUCGUUAGUUACCAGUGGAAGUAUGUUAAAAUGCAGUUCUUGUAACUCGGGAACAGCGUAUGUAUAUGAAAUCGACAGCCACUAUUAUAUUUGACCAGCAUUUGACUGGUUGCUAGUGCUAAUUGCCAUCCCUGAUCUGGGUACAUUUCCAAGUUUUGCGGCUUCUGCCAGGACACUGCUCUGUAGUGAGCACUUUAGGAGCGAGGACUUCGACAGGACGGGGCAGAUUGUCCGGCUUAGAGAUGGUGUUGUGCCAACCAUUUUCAACCUCCCAGCUCAUCUUCAAAGGUCGGAAACAAGAAGAAGCACAUCCACUUCUAGGAGAGCGGAAGACAACCUGCCGAAUUCGAUGGACCUGAUACCUGAUGGAUCCGCUGAAGAGAGAUCGAGGCUCAAGGAGCAGCGCAAGCAGCAGGCCACUGAGCACUCAUAUGCAUUGCCUGGUUCCCCUGAGGCUCU